rnacentral:rRNA from 1 species
AGCGAACGCUGGCGGCAGGCCUAACACAUGCAAGUCGAACGCCGUAGCAAUACGGAGUGGCAGACGGGUGAGUGACACGUGGGGAUCUGCCCGAUGGUACGGAAUAAUUCCGGGAAACUGGGACUAAUACCGUAUGAGCCCGCAAGGGGAAAGAUUUAUCGCCAUCGGAUGAACCCGCGUCAGAUUAGCUAGUCGGCGGUGUAAAGGCCCACCAAGGCGACGAUCUGUAGCUGGUCUGAGAGGAUGAGCAGCCACACUGGGACUGAGACACGGCCCAGACUCCUACGGGAGGCAGCAGUGGGGAAUAUGGGACAAUGGGCGCAAGCCUGAUCCAGCCAGGCCGCGUGAGUGAUGAAGGCCUUAGGGUUGUAAAGCUCUUUCGCCGACGAAGAUAAUGACGGUAGUCGGAGAAGAAGCCCCGGCUAACUUCGUGCCAGCCGCCGCCGUAAAAC